CACGUAUUUAGCCGGAGCUUCUUAGUCAGGUACCGUCAUUUUCUUUCCUGCUGAUAGAGCUUUACAUACCGAAAUACUUCUUCGCUCACGCGGCGUCGCUGCAUCAGGGUUUCCCCCAUUGUGCAAUAUUCCCCCACUGCUGCCUCCCGUAGGAGUCUGGGCCGUGUCUCAGUCCCAAUGUGGCCGUCCACCCUCUCAGGCCGGCUACUGAUCGUCGCCUUGGUGGGCCGUUACCCCGCCAACCAGCUAAUCAGACGCGGGUCCAUCCCGCACCACCGGAGUUUUUCACACUGCUUCAUGCGAAGCUGUGCGCUUAUGCGGUAUUAGCAGCCGUUUCCAGCUGUUCGUCCCCCAGUGCGGGGCAGGUUCGCCCACGCGUUACUCCACCCGUCCGCCACUCAGUCGCUAACUUUCCUCCGAAGAUUCAAAGCAGGCGCUUCGUUCGACUGCAGUGUGUUAGCACCGCCGCCAGCAUUCAUCCUGACGCCGAGG
rnacentral:rRNA from 1 species